CUCUAAGGAAUAAGGAAGGACUCCAGGCAGAGCUCAAGGUAGCUUUUUCUUACCCAGGGCUUAAUUUGCGUUGGAUGAAUGGUUUUUACAGAGACUGCAUGAAAGGCUGAUGGACAAGAUGCCUGUCCGGGUUCCCUUUGUGACUCUCAGAAAUUGUACUGAGGGGACCCUGCUGGGGCCCUUUAUGACUACUCUCCCUUUGGCUGAUUUCCAGACUGAAUAGACACCUCCCCCGCACAAACCCAGCUCUGUGCCCAGAAAACAAUGUCAGGUCAGGCCACUGGAAAAUGGGGAGCAAAUGCCUUUUAGAUGUGAUUCAAGACAAAAUCAGGUAUCUAGAUUGGAUCCCAAGGCCCUGCUCUGAGAAGUCUGGCUCCUAACCAGCCGGACAGAUGACAGUCUGCUGGCAUUUGAAAUGAGGAGACUGGGCAAAGAGCAUUGUUUAGAAGUUGGAAAGCAUGGAGUUGAUUUUAGAUGUUAAUUAAGCUCUGUGACCUCCUGUGAGUGCCUCUCUGAGUCUCUCCAUUUCCUUAUCUGUAAAACACAGGAAUAAUUUAGAUUUAGAAUGUUGGUCUUUAUUGGUUUACUGAGAUGGUAUAGGAUAGGAAGCAUGAAUGACGAGGGUUGGCUGGUGAGGCUAAUAUGCCUCAAGGACUAGGUAUGUCUCCAUCUAAUUUAGGUCUUGCAUGAAAUUGGAGGAGUGAACAAUGCUUACUUAGGUUCUGCUCUUUGUGGCACCCACCCCCCUCCCACCCUGCCCUCCAAGACAAGAGAGCGGAGGCAGGUUCUUUGCAGGAUGGAGCCUGGAUCAUCUAUGAAGAUAGAGAUCCUACAGCAUCACUUAGCCAAUCCAUUUUGGUAUUUAGCAGCCCUCAAAUCUGAAUGACCAUUAGGCACUAAGUCUGGGGAUGCUCUUUAGCAUCCCUGGCUGCCCCCCUCAGUCCCCUCCUCCUGGUCCACUAUCCAGCCUAUUUACCCUGCAGAACAGUUUGUUUCACAUCCUUUCUUCACAGGCCAGAAAGAGGUUGGAGGAAGUUGGGAGGCUGGCCUCAACUCCCUCUCCCCAUCCAAUAAGCCCAGCUCCUGGUUGUCAGUGAUCCCCCGGGGCCUGUCUGCUGCCGUGCUUGGAAUCAUCUGCUCCAGUGUGUUUGGCCGUGUAGAUUUGAAGAUAACCUGACAUGCUCUUAAAUAUUUCAUCUCUGAGCAGCCGUGCACCUUAUCUUCCAGACGUCGAGGCUGCACCCCAGCUGCUGACCCUGUCGUCACUGCUCCGUGGCAGCUGCCAAGAGGUGGCUGGGGCAGACUGGGGCAGACUGGGGCUUCCCUCUUCUGCCCGUCCAUGCUCCAUCCCCCAUGUGCCUGGCAAAGACUCAACCACAAGGAGCCAGGGAGGUGGUGCAAGGAGCCCUGGCCAGCAGAACCUGGGCCAGGCCCUCUGCUUCUCUGAGCCUCAGUUUCUUACCUGGGGUAACAAUCCCGGACCUUACGAGUGGCUCAGGAAUGGAAGAGGUGAUGUGUGUCAAGGGCUUUGAGAGUUACUGUGCACUGCUCUGCAAAUGUGAGCUGUUAUUAUUUAGGAGCAAAACCUGUUUUCCUGUAACACUGAUUCUCAGAACAUCUGACCAGAGGAGGGAGACUCCUGGGGACUGGACUCUCAAUCAGAAGUGGUUUAAGGGGUUAACAAGUGAGCCCAUCCCUGUCUUCAUGCAAGUCUGCCAGAAGGAAGGAGUGGAGACCUCUUCAGGAGAGCUGUCCCAGAGACAUGUGAAGAAAGAUCAAGGGGGAGAGGGAGAAGGGAUUGUGGAGCUGACCCCUGGCCCAGAAAGAGAUGGCCUUGUGGUGACUGGGACUGACAGGCUUUAUCUGCAGGGUAAGACCACCUUUGCUCCCUGCAUUUCCCUCCCUUCUCCCUUCCAGAACUUUCAUCGCCCCCUCCCCCCAGCAGCUUCAAGAACCUGUUUCUUUCAGGAGCUCAAAAUGUUAUUUCAGCUUCAACUAUCUGGCCUUUUCUUUGAGUCUCCUACUUUGAGGAUGGCGCCCAUGUUUCGGUACAUUAAUAAGCUUGUCUACUCCCCCUGUUAAUCUGUCUAUUGUCAGUUUAUGUCACAGGCUAAAAUUAUUAGACCCUCAGGAAAAAGAGAAGACUUUUCUUUUAGCUCAGGAGAGUUGGGUGGGGGUGGAGGAAUGUUGGUUAUUGCUCAGGGGCCCCAAUCUCCUGUAAGGAGCAAAAAAAAAAAAUCAGAGUUUCCCAGGGUGUCGGGGCAGGGUAUGCAUGUGCGUGUGUAUGUGUGUGCACAUGCGUGUGUGCAAAGAUGUUGUGGGUUUUAUGUUUAAUUGGAGCAAAGCCACUAUGAGGAAAGGAUAGAGAAGAAAUGGAAACGCUAAGUGCGGUCAGAUACAGCUGGGUUAUUGCUCUAGAAAGUGAAAUGCUCAGCACUGUGGUCUACUAAGAAGACAAGUGUUUUGAUAAGGAGACACGAUGGGGCGGGGGUGCAAGAGAGAAAGAAGCAAGCCAGACUCACAGAGAAAAGACGGAGUGAGAGAGUGAAGGGAGGAAAAACAAAAGAGAGAGAAAUAUUUGGAAAAGGAUCAAAGGUGAAUUUUGGGGAAAACUUUUGUUCCAGGAUGGACAGGAACAGAAAUCUACUGGGACCUGGGAACCUCAGGGCACUUUGAACCCUAAGAGGCCUUUUUCCAGUCUUUCCUACUACCCACCUCCAGAGCCCAAGGGCCUGAUUAAGCACUUGAGGCGCUCAGGACACUUAGGAAUUUGGGGCCCCUUCUACCACUGGCAAUGAAUAAUAGAUAAAUAAAAGUUUGAGGAUGAUAAAUCAUUGAUCAGCUUUCCUGCUGCUGUGUAGGGCUGAAUAUAAAUGCUAACUUAGUAAUAGCUGGCCAGGCUGGGCCAUUUCUCUCUCUCCUGGAUCUCCUUAGUCUGUCCCAGCAGGAUCCAUCUUCCAGGCAUCCCCUCACCCGAACUCUACCUUCCCCAGAAAACCUGUGUACCUUGGGCUUCACACAGACACCUGCACCCCCUCCUGGUUCUUCUCUGCCUCCACCCACCCUCCAACCGCCCACAUGGCUGCUCUUUCUGAAACACCUUUCCCAGGAUGAGGCAUUCUCAGAACAUCUCAGGAUUGGACACAUUUGGCCUUUUAAAGAAGAGACAAGGGCUAGAGAGACAGGGGGAGAGAGAAAGAGAAUGGACACAGAGAGACAUGCAAACACUUUUUCAAAUAUUCCCAAGUCCCGUGGUGUGGGUCAGAUGUGUUCUUUAGCUCUUCAGGACAGCAGUGACACCCACAGACAGCACGUCAAGAUAUCUGAGGAGACUAACAAGGAUUCAGUCCAGGCUGCCAAGAAGGGCAGUGAGUCCCCUUCCCCGGCUAUAGUCAAGCCACGGUUGGAUGCUCACCUCUCCAGGAUGCUGCUGGGGCGAUGUCUACACUGGAUGAAAGACUGGACUAGUGAAAUGAAGACAAUGCGAGGACGCCACAGCGAAGAUGAAGCAGAAUAGUGUCAAGUGCCUGGCGUAUUAAAGGUUAAUUUAAAUAAAAGACCACAGUGAGUUAGAGUGAAGCCUCCACCUUUGGGGCUAGCAGACAGGGUCCUGUGCAUUGGAGCUGGUUAUAUAAAUGACACGAUUUCUCUCUCUACUGUGACUCUGUUUAUCUAUUAAAUAAAGGGGAAAAUCCUUUUGUCCCUCUGGACAACUGUAGAUUUUGAGAUUAUAUCUGAGAAGUACUUGAAUUUCUUAGAAGAAAAAUGUUCUAUCCAUAUGAGGAAGUAUAUUUAUAAGUCAUUUUCUUUGACUGGUGUUUCCAGCCCUGAUGACCAGAAAGACACUGAGGUCUUCGGUGAGGGUCUCAUGCCUGGUACACGAAGUGGGGCAACAUGGUUCAAGUGGAAGUGGGCAGACCCCCCAUCAGGUAGAGCCCAACCCUGGGCCUCAGUUUCCCUCCAGGAAAACUUUCAAGGUGUUAAGUGUUCUUCAAGUGCUUGCUGAAAGGGAGUGGGUUCUGCCAUGCUAGGAGUGUUUAUUGAGAUGGAUAAGUAUCGAUCAUUAUUACCAGGUUGCAGUUCUGGGGACAAGUGAUCAAAUACAGAACAGGUACUUAUCAGGAGCUUGAUCUUGGGCUAUGUAGGAAGAGGGUCCAGCUUCUUCCUAUAACUGGAGACAAGUUGGAGAGGAAGCCGACCCCAGUUCCUCAGACCCAUUGUCCUUCAGCACCAAGCAGGCCUGGAGCCUGACCCCAGAAAGCCAU